UUGACUGAAAAGUUUAAGUUUAAAACGCAUUAGUUCACGUUCAAAAGAAAACUAAAUGUACACAUGUACUAGAUCUUUAUGUUUCAGUGUGCGUGUUUCGUAUCGUUCAGCCAAUUUUGCAUUGCUUUUGAACUUUGAUGCUUUUGACAAUCACUCGUAAGUUCAAAGUAAAAUCAAAGUUGUCAUAAUAAUGGAUAGUUGUUUUUAGUAUCUAUGUACCAGUGUGUAUAGGUGUACAUGUACCACUUUCACAUUGAAAUUUUAGGGUGCUUUCAGCAUAUGCAACAAUACUUUCAUCUGUGAAUACCCACUUUCUAAGCCCACCAUGAACUACGAGCGGAAGGUCAAUUAAUAUGUAAGGACACCAAUGAACAGACACUUUCCAAUUAUCCUACAUCAUAUACAUGGGUGGUCAAACUCCCUGGAUGGUUUAUCAACACUCCCAUGAUCACGAACAGCCUUGCGCCAGGAAUUUUGCCCUGAAGUAACAUUGCAGUCUAUUGUCUCCUUUCUUUUUACAACCCUGGCAGCCAUGCAGGAUAGAAGCUGAUCACUUGUACUUGACAGCAAAUAAUAAUGUCUUGGACAAGUCAAAGAAUUUCCUCCGGUCUUACAGAGAAAUGACAGUUGAUAAAAGAAUGGUGGACACAAAGUAAAAGUGCUCUUCAACAUUUUGUUGAAGAUUUCAAUCUGAUUUGGAAUUCAUCUUGCAAUAUUUCUGUAUUUGUAUAUUUGGAUAUAAGCGUCAAAUUUUCAACUUAUUGACUAAACAGUUUUGCAUUAAAUAUUGCCAAUGCUAUCUAUUAUUAUUUCCCUCCAAGAUAACAUGUCAAGUCUUUAUUGUACCCCUUAAGCUCUGUUAUACCAGAAAAACUUGCAAUGAAAUCAUUUAGUUUUUUUUUUCUUGUUAAAUUAAAUCCAUGAAAAUAAAGAUUAUUUUUAAUGUCAUCAAGAGAAUGGAUUUCUUGUUUAACAAAAAGAUAGUAUACAUGUUUUGCUAGGGCUUUGUAAGAAGCAGACCAGAAUUCUUUGCUUGCAAACUUUGUCAUUCGCCAUUUUUAUUACGUCAACUAUUAGAUGAUUUAUCCAUGUUUGAAGCAUUUCAAAAUUGAUAUUUACUUACAGUUUAAAGCAGAAUUCUGUACUGAUAUGACCUUGACCCCCUGAAGAACAAGAGUGUCAAGGUCAAUUUUUAAUACAAAAAUGUUCUUUCAUCUUUAUGGCCCAUAUCUUACAAGCAAUAUCAUGAAAUAUACAAAAAGUGUCUAGAAUUUGUCCAGAAUGUGAAAUAACAAACAUGUAUAUAGCCAAAAACUUUAAAAUGAUGUUGCUUAGCAACCACUUAAAGGUCAUUAAACAGAUAUUUGAACUAAAAUGAUGCAUGGAUAUUGCAGUUCUGAUCCCUUCUUGAGAGUAUAUUCAGAAUUUUCCAUGUCAGCAUCCAUUGUGUAAAAUUAUGGCAAGAAUAUUGAAAAGUGUUGAAAAAAAUUGAUGAAACUUUUGCACUAAUUUGACCUUUGACCUCCUAAAAAUAGUUCUAAUGAGGUCAAACUUUAUGACAAUUUAUCUGUUGUAUGUCCCUUAUAAUUUUAUGACCUCACAUUUAACUUUUAUAUCUGC